GACGAACGCUGGCGGCGUGCUUAACACAUGCGAGUCGUACGGUAAGGCCCUUUCGGGGGUACACGAGUGGCGAACGGGUGAGUAACACGUGAGUAACCUGCCCACAACUUUGGGAUAACGCUAGGAAACUGGUGCUAAUACUGGAUAUGUGCUCCUGCUGCAUGGUGGGGGUUGGAAAGCUCCGGCGGUUGUGGAUGGACUCGCGGCCUAUCAGCUUGUUGGUGGGGUAGUGGCCUACCAAGGCGGCGACGGGUAGCCGGCCUGAGAGGGUGACCGGCCACAUUGGGACUGAGAUACGGCCCAGACUCCUACGGGAGGCAGCAGUGGGGAAUAUUGCACAAUGGGCGCAAGCCGGAUGCAGCAACGCCGCGUGCGGGAUGACGGCCUUCGGGUUGUAAACCGCUUUCAGCAGGGACGAAGCUUUUUGUGACGGUACCUGCAGAAGAAGCACCGGCUAACUACGUG
rnacentral:rRNA from 1 species